AAACCAUAAACCAGAAACGAAAAA
rnacentral:misc_RNA from 1 species